GAUGAACGCUAGCGGCAGGCCUAACACAUGCAAGUCGAGGGGUAGAGUUCUUCGGGACUUGAGACCGGCGCACGGGUGCGUAACGCGUAUGCAAUCUACCUUAUACAGGGGAAUAGCCCAGAGAAAUUUGGAUUAAUGCCCCAUAGUGUUAUCGAAUCGCAUGGUUUGAUAACUAAAGUUCCAACGGUAUAAGAUGAGCAUGCGUCCCAUUAGUUAGUUGGUAAGGUAACGGCUUACCAAGACAAUGAUGGGUAGGGGUCCUGAGAGGGAGAUCCCCCACACUGGUACUGAGACACGGACCAGACUCCUACGGGAGGCAGCAGUGAGGAAUAUUGGUCAAUGGGCGCAAGCCUGAACCAGCCAUGCCGCGUGCAGGAAGACGGUCCUAUGGAUUGUAAACUGCUUUUAUACAGGAAGAAACACUCCGACGUGUCGGAGCUUGACGGUACUGUAAGAAUAAGGAUCGGCUAACUCCGUG
rnacentral:rRNA from 1 species